rnacentral:rRNA from 1 species
UACGUAGGGGCCGAGCGUUGUCCGGAAUUAUUGGGCGUAAAGCGCGCGCAGGCGGCCUUUUAAGUCUGAUGUGAAAGCCCACGGCUCAACCGUGGAAGGUCAUUGGAAACUGAAAGGCUUGAGUACAGAAGAGGAAAGCGGAAUUCCACGUGUAGCGGUGAAAUGCGUAGAGAUCGGGAGGAACACCCGUGGCGAAGGCGGCUCACUGGGCCGGUCCUGACGCUGAGACGCGAAGGCGUGGGGAGCGAACGGG